rnacentral:rRNA from 1 species
AACGCUGGCGGUAGGCCUAACACAUGCAAGUCGAACGGCCGCACAGUAAGAGCUUGCUCUUACGGGUGGCGAGUGGCGGACGGGUGAGGAAUACAUCGGAAUCUACUUUUUCGUGGGGGAUAACGUAGGGAAACUUACGCUAAUACCGCAUACGACCUACGGGUGAAAGCAGGGGAUCUUCGGACCUUGCGCGAUUGAAUGAGCCGAUGUCGGAUUAGCUAGUUGGCGGGGUAAAGGCCCACCAAGGCGACGAUCCGUAGCUGGUCUGAGAGGAUGAUCAGCCACACUGGAACUGAGACACGGUCCAGACUCCUACGGGAGGCAGCAGUGGGGAAUAUUGGACAAUGGGCGCAAGCCUGAUCCAGCCAUACCGCGUGGGUGAAGAAGGCCUUCGGGUUGUAAAGCCCUUUUGUUGGGAAAGAAAAGCAGCAGGUUAAUACCCCGCUGUUCUGACGGUACCCAAAGAAUAAGCACCGGCUAACUUCGUG